UGGGAACGUGUCUAAAGGUACGGAACAACUCCGGGAAACUGGAGCUAAUACCGUAUGUGCCCGAAAGGGGAAAGAUUCAUCGCCUUUGGAUCGGCCCGCGUCUGAUUAGCUAGUUGGCGGGGUAAUGGCCCACCAAGGCGACGAUCCGUAGCUGGUCUGAGAGGAUGAUCAGCCACACUGGGACUGAGACACGGCCCAGACUCCUACGGGAGGCAG
rnacentral:rRNA from 1 species